rnacentral:lncRNA from 1 species
AUGCAUGGACAUUUCAUUUAAGGGUGCGUUUGUUUCGCGCUUUCUUUUUAAGAUUUAUAGUAAUCUAAUAGAAAUAAAAAAAAUAUGACGGUGUUCGACUAAACGUACUAAAUAAUCUAGGUGGUAAUAUUAGAUUUACUUAGAAAUGAGAUUCAUCCCAAAAUACUAAUCUCAUUCCUUUGAGGGAGGGUGGGUAUCCUCAUAUUAAUGAAUUGGGAUAAUCAUAAUAUGUUUAAUUUCUUUCUUUCUCUCUAUCCGCCACCUAGUUGGUAUUAUUUUUCUUUACACUCUAAUCUCAUAUCUCUCUCUAAACUUUUUUUUUUUCUCUCUAAACUUCAACUCUUUUUCUCUCUCUAAACUAAGCUCUCUCUCCCCCUCUUUUUCUAAAAUCUCAACUCUCUCACUCCCUUUAAUCUCAACUCUAUUUCUCUUCUUAUUUCUUUAAUUAUGCUCUCUCUCUCUAACCUAUGUUCUCUUUCUCUCUUUUUUUAAAAAGAUGUUGAAAUUUUUGGCGGCAUUAUCUAAAAUUAAUUAAAGAAAUAAAUAAAUUAAUUGUAUAUUUUUUGUAAACUUAAAUAACAUAACUAAAUAAUAUAACCGUGCGAACCAAACACAGGAAUGCUACAUUCUUAGUAAUAGGAUGAAUAAGAAUAAGAUUCUCGGACAUCUUUUUAUUGCUAGUAAUCUUUCAUAGUACGAACCAAACGCACCUUAAGGGUCAUUUGAUUGUAUAUAGUUGCAACUGUACUGCAACUAUAACUAUAUAUAAAUACAAAUUUGAUAUUUGAUUUGAUAUAUUUAAUUUUAACUGCUGCAAUAGCAACUAGCAAUAGUAACUACUGGAGGAGAUCCAAUUAUAGCAGUUGGAAUUACGCUCAAAUUGACCGCAGUUCCCACUGCAGCAAUUGGAGAGAGUAAAUUUAAGCAAAAAAUAAACUUACCUUUCUAAUUAUUUUUUUAACAAAAAAUAUUUUUUCUUUUUUACAUUAGAGGUAAUCUCACCAUCAUAUAUAUAAAAUAUUUUUAAACUGCAAGCAACCAAACAAAUUAUUUGUAAUUGCAACGUUUUCUACUACAUCCAACCAAAUAGAAUGCAUGUAGUUGCAAUUGCUACAUUUCAAUUGCAUGUAUCUCCAAAUACAUUGUAUUUCUAAUUACAUCUAACCAAACGGUCUCUCACUACAACAAAAACGGUCUAUAGUGUCACUUUUAAAUGUCGGUAUAAGUCAAAAAAAGUGCUACUAGCAAAAUUACCAACACUUUUAAAAAGUGUUGCUAUAUAUGAGGUCGCUAGGUAUAUAGUGACAUUAAAGAGUGUUGCUAUAAUCUAAAAAAGUGCUGCUAAUUUACCAACAUUUAUUUAAGCAUUUAGCAACCGCUGGAACUCUACCUCGUUGGCUGCGGUGGCAGAGGAGGACGAGAGGAAGGGAUCUACGUCUAGGAUUUCAGUCAAUUGAGUGAGGGGGGAAGGGGAAAUAAUAAUUGAUUUUUCUUUUCUUUUUCUUUUCUUUUUCUUUUCUGUUUAUAAUAGGGCCGAAUGGACUAGGUGGGGUGGGUUGAGUAGAGUAUCCUUUUAUUUUAGUUGGAUUGGACUUUAUAUUUAGGCAUUAGUAGGUUUUUUUUUUUAAGUUUUGGCAUAAAUGUGACACUUACACAAAAGUGUCCCAAACAUGUGUCCCUAUAACCUAAUUCUAUUGUAGUGUCUCAGGAGUCGUUUGGUAAUUAGAUGUAGCUGUAAAUACAGUGUAGUACUUAAAAAUACAUGCAGUUGAAAAUACAUCAGUUAUAAUUACACACAGUUUGUUUGAUUUUAUAUAAAUGCAACUGUUGUAGUUGCAUUUUUUCUAUUUGGCAAUAUAAAGUUGAUUGUUGUAUUUGUGAAUCUCGUCACCUUCAAAUAGAGUUGUGAGAUUAUCUUCACUAUACAUAAAAUAAUUGUAUAACUUUAUUAAUCCUUUAAACUUACUAUAUAUCCAUAAAUAAAGAAUUGGAUAUAUGUAAUGUUUUUAUAUUUUUCAAUAAUUCUUCAACUUAUCAAUCGACACAUUUAAAAUUUUCAAUAUAUUUAAUUUUACUAUGUAAAUCCAACUUUACAAAUUUAAAUAAUUCUCUCAUUUUUUAUCAAAUUUAAUAAUUAUAAUUAAUUAAAACUUAUUAAAUUAACAUACACAAUCAUAUUCUAUAAAAAAAUUUUAAAAAACUAUUUUUUAUAUUUAAAUAAAACUAAUUUUAAAAAAAAUUAAUUUUUUUACACAAACCUUGUAUUGGUAAAAACUUUUCUUAGUAGGAAUUUAUUACAAGUAUAUAUAUAUAUAUAUAUAUAAUUGAGCUUCUAUGCUUUUAAAAGUACCAAGACAAUGGUGCUUGUAAAUUUUUAGUCUUUGGAUUAAGGAAUGUGUGGUUAGGAUGAUAUGGGCCCCCUAGGGUUAAGUACUUAAGUGAGUGGUUGGUUGAAUAGUAUAAUCUAACGGGUGUAAAUGGUCAACAGUCCAGAUUUAACGGCUAAAAACCUACAAGCACGAAGUGGUUGGUCAUUUUAAAAGCACCAUAACCGGACUAUAUAUAUAUAGAGUCCGGCUAUGGUGCUUGUAAAAGCACAAGCACUUGGUGCUUUUAAAUUUUUUUUACCAUUAGAUCUAUAUUUUUGAUCAUUUUUAUCCGUUAGAUUAUACUAUUUAACCAACCACCCAUUCAACCCUAGGAGGCCCACAUCAUUCUAACCGCACAUCCCUUAAUCCAAGGGCCGAAAAUAUACAAGCACCAAUGAUUUGGUACUUUUAAAAGCAUAGGAGCUCAAUUAUAUAUAUAUAUAUAUAUAUAUAUAUAUAUAUAUAUAUANAUGUCGGACCCCUAGGGUUGAGUGAGUUGUUGGUUUAAUAGUAUAAUCUAACGGGUGAAAAUAGUCAAAGGGUUAAAUCUAACGGCGGAAAACUUGAUAGCGCCAAAUGCAUGGUGCUAUCGAUAGUAUCCCAGCUGGACUCUAUAUAUAUAUAUAUAUAUAUAUAUAAUUUAGUUUUCAAAUACUUUUAAUAAUGUAGAUCAGGUCUAACGGAGCCGAUCAUCGAUUUGAAAGCUGCAUCAUUAAAAACAACUUGGUAGCACGGAGGCCAAUUUCAUAAUUUUUCGACAUCAAUUACUAAUCAAACAAGUAGUUUAAAAAUGAACGGUUGAAAAUAAAAAUCUCAUAAAACAUGAUAAUAAAAGACUUGAAUUCAAUAUCAGAGAUACUGAUCUUACUUUAAAUAGUCAAAAGAAUUUUCUAUAAAAAUUUCAUCAGAUUUGAAUUGUUUUACACCGUUAAAUUCACAAACGCAUCACAUCGACCAUUAAAAUUGUCAAUUUUGAGACCUUUUGAUCACCAGUCAAAUGAUGUCGAAAAAUUAUAAAAUUUAGUUUCCAAAUACUAUUAAUAGUGUAGAUUAAGUCUAACGGAGCCGAUCGUCAAUUUGAAAGCUGCAUCAUUGAAAAGAACUUGGUAGUACGGAAACCUCCGUGCUAUCGAUAAUAUACCAGCCUAGCUAUAUAUAUAUAUAUAAUUUAGCUAUUGAUUUAUUUAUUAUUGUUAAUUUGUGUGUGAUCCUAAUUCUCACCAACUGCUGUAAUUGAAACUACAGUCAAUUUGGGUAUAGUUCCAAUUACAGUAUUUUGAUAUUCUUACACAGUUGCAAUUGCAAUAAUUAGACUCAACUGCACUAAAUCAAAUACAAAAAUUAAAAUUAUAUGUAUUUUCAACUGUACUAUAGUUGUAAAUACGUGUAACGAAACGGACCCUU